rnacentral:rRNA from 1 species
UAGGGAAUCUUCCGCAAUGGGCGAAAGCCUGACGGAGCAACGCCGCGUGAGUGAAGAAGGAUUUCGGUUCGUAAAGCUCUGUUGUUAGGGAAGAAUGAUUGUGUAGUAACUAUACACAGUAGAGACGGUACCUAACCAGAAAGCCACGGCUAACUACGUGCCAGCAGCCGCGGUAAUACGUAGGUGGCAAGCGUUGUCCGGAAUUAUUGGGCGUAAAGCGUGCGCAGGUGGUUUAAUAAGUCUGAUGUGAAAGCCCACGGCUCAACCGUGGAGGGUCAUUGGAAACUGUUAAACUUGAGUGCAGGAGAGAAAAGUGGAAUUCCUAGUGUAGCGGUGAAAUGCGUAGAGAUUAGGAGGAACACCAGUGGCGAAGGCGGCUUUUUGGCCUGUAACUGACACUGAGGCGCGAAAGCGUGGGGAGCAAACAGGAUUAGAUACCCUGGUAGUCCACGCCGUAAACGAUGAGUGCUAAGUGUUGGUCUCAUAAGAGAUCAGUGCUGCAGCUAACGCAUUAAGCACUCCGCCUGGGGAGUACGACCGCAAGGUUG